rnacentral:rRNA from 1 species
AUUGAACGCUGGCGGCAUGCCUUACACAUGCAAGUCGAACGGUAACAGGUCUUCGGACGCUGACGAGUGGCGAACGGGUGAGUAAUACAUCGGAACGUGCCCAGUCGUGGGGGAUAACUACUCGAAAGAGUAGCUAAUACCGCAUACGAUCUGAGGAUGAAAGCGGGGGACCUUCGGGCCUCGCGCGAUUGGAGCGGCCGAUGGCAGAUUAGGUAGUUGGUGGGAUAAAAGCUUACCAAGCCGACGAGCUGUAGCGGGUCUGAGAGGACGACCAGCCACACUGGGACUGAGACACGGCCCAGACUCCUACGGGAGGCAGCAGUGGGGAAUUUUGGACAAUGGGCGAAAGCCUGAUCCAGCAAUGCCGCGUGCAGGAUGAAGGCCUUCGGGUUGUAAACUGCUUUUGUACGGAACGAAAAAGCUCCUUCUAAUACAGGGGGCCCAUGACGGUACCGUAAGAAUAAGCACCGGCUAACUACGUGCCAGCAGCCGCCGUAA